AAUGGUAUAGCAGGCGUAAUGAGACAUAUACCAAACACUUUUCCCACAAAUGUUUUUCAGGAUACCCUAGAGAUCACAGUAAACGUACUUAGGUACUUUGUGAGAGACAUUGUACUGAGUCCUUUCAGUAGGUUGCUGUAUAUGCACAGUGAGGACAUGAUGCUCUUGUGACAUCAUUUUUUUCCUUGGAUUCCUGCAACUCUCCUGGAAUCAUGAUGAACAUAACAUUGCUCAUUAAGGGAUCUUUGCUGGUAUCCAGAUAAAUAACAAUUGAACCUUAACCAAAGCACAGUCCAUCUGAUCUCCUGAUAUCUAAGUGAUGAAAAUGUCCCUGGCACUUGUAUUAACAUGGUUUUAUUUGCAAGCACUCAGGUACAUGUCUAGGGACCAUGGUGAACCUAACAAUGACUGUUAAAUGGAAAUACUCCUAGUAUCCAGGCAAGCAUUCAAAGAUGAAGUCGAAGAUGGUGUCGAUUUGGAGUACUGCAAGCUACCAGCUGAUUUGGUGGGUCCUGCUGUGAUGGUUUUGAACAGGUUAUUUCAGGAUCCAGAUAUCCACUCAAGAAUAUAGUGUCUCUCACCAAUGCCUGAAUCCUAGAUUGUUGUAUUCUUGGAGGAGAUGAUGGUGUUCCUACAACAUGAAUGAGCAUAGAAUUUUGCAGACACAUAGUCAAGAAGAUCUUUUGACUCUAUCAAAAUUGAUAUCUACACAAAUGAAAGAAAAAUGGAACACAUUUUCUUGGCUAGAUAUUUAUUUUAU